CACUCCCCAGAUUAGUCCGGUCGCAACAAAAGCGAGACCAACUGAAGACGUUGGUACGUCAACCGAUGUUGUGCCCAGGGCUGAAUCUCCUCCUAAAGAGCCUCUUAGUUUGCACCCAGAAUCUUCUGAGGUUGAAAUUAAAGAAUCUUCUGACAUAGUUGGUGCAUUAAAAGUUACUAUUCCUGAGCCAGCUUUGACUAUUCAGGAGACCAAACUACCCCCAGUGGACACGCCGGGUCAUACUGAAGCUUCUUCUACCUCAUUAUCAGCCCGCAUUCAAGAGUUAUU